rnacentral:rRNA from 1 species
UGGGGAAUUUUGGACAAUGGGCGCAAGCCUGAUCCAGCAAUGCCGCGUGCAGGAUGAAGGCCUUCGGGUUGUAAACUGCUUUUGUACGGAACGAAAAGCCUCUCUCUAAUACAGGGGGGUGAUGACGGUACCGUAAGAAUAAGCACCGGCUAACUACGUGCCAGCAGCCGCGGUAAUACGUAGGGUGCAAGCGUUAAUCGGAAUUACUGGGCGUAAAGCGUGCGCAGGCGGUUUUGUAAGACAGUGGUGAAAUCCCGGGCUCAACCUGGGAACUGCCAUUGUGACUGCAAGGCUGGAGUGCGGCAGAGGGGGAUGGAAUUCCGCGUGUAGCAGUGAAAUGCGUAGAUAUGCGGAGGAACACCGAUGGCGAAGGCAAUCCCCUGGGCCUGCACUGACGCUCAUGCACGAAAGCGUGGGGACGCAAACAGGAUUAGAUAGCCCUGGUAGUCCACGCCCUAAAACCGAUGUCAACUGGUUGUUGGGGGAUUUUAUUUCUUCAGUAACGAAGCUAACGCGUGAAGUU